AGAGUUUGAUCCUGGCUCAGAUUGAACGCUGGCGGCGUGCCUAACACAUGCAAGUCGAGCGAGAAAGGUCCUUUCGGGGACUGAGUAGAGCGGCGCACGGGUGAGUAACGCGUGGGAUAUCUGCCCGGGAGAUCGGGAUAACAGUGGGAAACCGCUGCUAAUACCGGAUACGCUUCACGAUUAAUCUCGUGAGGGAAAGGUGGCCUCUUCAUGAAAGCUGCCACUCCCGGAUGAGCCCGCGUCCCAUUAGCUUGUUGGUGGGGUAAAGGCCUACCAAGGCUGCGAUGGGUAGCCGGCCUGAGAGGGUGUACGGUCACACUGGAACUGAGACACGGUCCAGACUCCUACGGGAGGCAGCAGUGGGGAAUAUUGGUCAAUGGGCGAAAGCCUGAACCAGCAAUGCCGUGUGGGUGAUGAAGCUUUUAGGAGUGUAAAACCCUUUUAUGAGGGAAGAAAGUGACAUGGCUAAUAACCAUGUUACGUGACGGUACCUCAUGAAUAAGCCCCGGCUAACUCCGUGCCAGCAGCCGCGGUAACACGGAGGGGGCAAGCGUUGUUCGGAAUUACUGGGCGUAAAGGGCGUGUAGGCUGCUUAGCAGGUCAGAUGUGAAAUCCCAGGGCUCAACUCUGGAAUUGCGUUUGAAACCGUUAAGCUUGUGGCUAGAAGAGGAAAGCGGAAUUCCUGGUGUAGCGGUGAAAUGCGUAGAUAUCAGGAGGAACACCGGUGGCGAAAGCGGCUUUCUAGGCUAGUACUGACGCUGAUGCGCGAAAGCGUGGGGAGCGAACGGGAUUAGAUACCCCGGUAGUCCACGCCGUAAACGUUGAGCACUAGGUGUAGCGGGUAUCGACCCCUGCUGUGCCGCAGCAAACGCAUUAAGUGCUCCGCCUGGGGAUUACGCACGCAAGUGUAAAACUCAAAGGAAUUGACGGGGCCCCGCACAAGCGGUGGAGUAUGUGGUUUAAUUCGAUGCAACGCGAAGAACCUUACCAGGACUUGACAUGUUGGUUUUAGGGAUCCGAAAGGUGACCGACCCUUCGGGGAGCCAUCACAGGUGCUGCACGGCUGUCGUCAGCUCGUGUCGUGAGAUGUUGGGUUAAGUCCCGCAACGAGCGCAACCCCUACCCUUAGUUGCCAUCAGUUCGGCUGGGAACUCUAGGGGAACUGCCGGUGACAAACCGGAGGAAGGUGGGGAUGACGUCAAGUCAUCAUGGCCCUUAUGUCCUGGGCUACACACGUACUACAAUGACCGGUACAAUGAGUCGCAAUACUGUGAAGUGGAGCCAAUCUCAAAAAACCGGCCUCAAUUCAGAUUGGAGUCUGCAACUCGACUCCAUGAAGUUGGAAUCGCUAGUAAUCGCGGAUCAGCAUGCCGCGGUGAAUCCGUUCCCGGGGCUUGUACACACCGCCCGUCACACCACGAAAGUUGGUUGCACUAGAAGUCGUCGGGCUAACCGCAAGGAAGCAGACGCCCAAGGUGUGGUCAAUGAUUGGGGUGAAGUCGUAACAAGGUAACC
rnacentral:rRNA from 1 species